rfam:Arabis alpina cultivar Pajares chromosome 6, whole genome shotgun sequence.
ACACCAUGCUGAGGGCAAGAACGUGUGUAGCCCCUUUACCUUUCCCAUGCUUCAUAGAGAGUUUCAUUUGGACCUUCCUUAAAGCUUGUGAUGUUGUUUAUAAUCCG